UACGAAGGGGGCUAGCGUUGCUCGGAAUCACUGGGCGUAAAGCGCACGUAGGUGGGUCGUUAAGUCGGGGGUGAAAUCCUGGAGCUCAACUCCAGAACUGCCUUCGAUACUGGGUAUCUUGAGUUCGGAAGAGGUGAGUGGAAUUGCGAGUGUAGAGGUGAAAUUCGUAGAUAUUCGCAGGAACACCAGUGGCGAAGGCGGCUCACUGGUCCGAUACUGACGCUGAGGUGCGAAAGCGUGGGGAGCAAACAGG
rnacentral:rRNA from 1 species